UGGGGAAUAUUGCACAAUGGACGGAAGUCUGCUGCAGCAACGCCGCGUGCGGGAUGACGGCCUUCGGGUUGUAAACCGCUUUUUCUCAUGACGAAGUUUUUUGACGGUAGUGGGGGAAGAAGCACCGGCUAACUACGUGCCAGCAGCCGCGGUGAUACGCAGGGUGCGAGCGUUGUCCGUAAUUAUUGGGCGUAAAGAGCUUGUAGGCGGUUUGUCGCGUCGAUAGUGCAAACUCAGUGCUUAACGCUGAGCCUGCUGUUGAUACGGGCAGACUAGAGGAAGGUAGGGGAGAAUGGAAUUCCCGGUGGAGCGGUGGAAUUCGCGGAUAUCGGGAGGAACACCGGUGGCGAAGGCGGUUCUCUGGGCCUUUCCUGACGCUGAGAAGCGAAAGCGUGGGGAGCGAGCAGG
rnacentral:rRNA from 1 species